GAUGAACGCUGGCGGCGUGCCUAAUACAUGCAAGUCGAGCGAACAGACGAGGAGCUUGCUCCUCUGACGUUAGCGGCGGACGGGUGAGUAACACGUGGAUAACCUACCUAUAAGACUGGGAUAACUUCGGGAAACCGGAGCUAAUACCGGAUAAUAUAUUGAACCGCAUGGUUCAAUAGUGAAAGACGGUUUUGCUGUCACUUAUAGAUGGAUCCGCGCUGCAUUAGCUAGUUGGUAAGGUAACGGCUUACCAAGGCAACGAUGCGUAGCCGACCUGAGGGGGUGAUCGGCCACACUGGAACUGAGACACGGUCCAGACUCCUACGGGAGGCAGCAGUAGGGAAUCUUCCGCAAUGGGCGAAAGCCUGACGGAGCAACGCCGCGUGAGUGAUGAAGGUCUUCGGAUCGUAAAACUCUGUUAUUAGGGAAGAACAAAUGUGUAAGUAACUAUGCACGUCUUGACGGUACCUAAUCAGAAAGCCACGGCUAACUACGUG
rnacentral:rRNA from 1 species